rnacentral:rRNA from 1 species
GAUGAACGCUGGCGGCGUGCCUAAUACAUGCAAGUCGAGCGAACGGACGAGAAGCUUGCUUUUCUGAUGUUAGCGGCGGACGGGUGAGUAACACGUGGAUAACCUACCUAUAAGACUGGGAUAACUUCGGGAAACCGGAGCUAAUACCGGAUAAUAUUUUGAACCGCAUGGUUCAAAAUUGAAAGACGGUCUUGCUGUCACUUAUAGAUGGAUCCGCUCUGCAUUAGCUAGUUGGUAAGGUAACGGCUUACCAAGGCAACGAUGCAUAGCCGACCUGAGAGGGUGAUCGGCCACACUGGAACUGAGACACGGUCCAGCCUCCUACGGGAGGCAGCAGUAGGGAAUCUUCCGCAAUGGGCGAAAGCCUGACGGGGCAACGCCGCGUGAGUGAUGAAGGUCUUCGGAUCGUAAAACUCUGUUAUUAGGGAAGAACAUAUGUGUAAGUAACUGUGCACAUCUUGACGGUACCUAAUCAGAAAGCCACGGCUAACUACGUG